rnacentral:rRNA from 1 species
AAGCCCCAGUAAACGGCGGCCGUAACUAUAACGGUCCUAAGGUAGCGAAAUUCCUUGUCGGGUAAGUUCCGACCCGCACGAAAGGCGUAACGAUUUGGGCACUGUCUCAACAACAGACUCGGUGAAAUUGUAAUUCCGGUGAAGAUGCCGGAUACCUGCGACAGGACGGAAAGACCCCAUGGAGCUUUACUGUAGCUUGACAUUGGGUCUUGGUACUACAUGUACAGGAUAGGUGGGAGGCUUUGAAACCAGGACGCCAGUUUUGGCGGAGCCAUCCUUGGGAUACCACCCUUGUAGUACUGGGACUCUAACCAUAGGCCAUGAAUCUGGUCUUGGGACACUGUCAGGUGGGCAGUUUGACUGGGGCGGUCGCCUCCCAAAAGGUAACGGAGGCGCUCAAAGGUUCUCUCAGUACGGUCGGAAAUCGUACGUAGAGUGUAAAGGCAAAAGAGAGCUUGAUUGCAAGACAUACAGGUCGAGCAAGGAUGAAAAUCGGACGUAGUGAUCCGGUGGUUCUGCGUGGAAGGGCCAUCGCUCAACGGAUAAAAGCUACCCUGGGGAUAACAGGCUUAUCUCCCCCAAGAGUCCACAUCGACGGGGAGGUUUGGCACCUCGAUGUCGGCUCAUCACA